GGAUGAACGCUAGCUACAGGCUUAACACAUGCAAGUCGAGGGGCAGCAUGGUCUUAGCUUGCUAAGACUGAUGGCGACCGGCGCACGGGUGAGUAACACGUAUCCAACCUGCCGUCUACUCUUGGACAGCCUUCUGAAAGGAAGAUUAAUACAAGAUGGCAUCAUGAGUCCGCAUGUUCACAUGAUUAAAGGUAUUCCGGUAGACGAUGGGGAUGCGUUCCAUUAGAUAGUAGGCGGGGUAACGGCCCACCUAGUCUUCGAUGGAUAGGGGUUCUGAGAGGAAGGUCCCCCACAUUGGAACUGAGACACGGUCCAAACUCCUACGGGAGGCAGCAGUGAGGAAUAUUGGUCAAUGGGCGAGAGCCUGAACCAGCCAAGUAGCGUGAAGGAUGACUGCCCUAUGGGUUGUAAACUUCUUUUAUAAAGGAAUAAAGUCGGGUAUGGAUACCCGUUUGCAUGUACUUUAUGAAUAAGGAUCGGCUAACUCCGUGCCAGCAGCCGCGGUAAUACGGAGGAUCCGAGCGUUAUCCGGAUUUAUUGGGUUUAAAGGGAGCGUAGAUGGAUGUUUAAGUCAGUUGUGAAAGUUUGCGGCUCAACCGUAAAAUUGCAGUUGAUACUGGAUAUCUUGAGUGCAGUUGAGGCAGGCGGAAUUCGUGGUGUAGCGGUGAAAAUGCUUAGAUAUCACGAAGAACUCCGAUUGCGAAGGCAGCCUGCCUAAGCUGCAACUGACAUUGAGGCUCGAAAGUGUGGGUAUCAAACAGGAUUAGAUACCCUGGUAGUCCACACGGUAAACGAUGAAUACUCGCUGUUUGCGAUAUACGGCAAGCGGCCAAGCGAAAGCGUUAAGUAUUCCACCUGGGGAGUACGCCGGCAACGGUGAAACUCAAAGGAAUUGACGGGGGCCCGCACAAGCGGAGGAACAUGUGGUUUAAUUCGAUGAUACGCGAGGAACCUUACCCGGGCUUAAAUUGCAGAUGAAUUACGGUGAAAGCCGUAAGCCGCAAGGCAUCUGUGAAGGUGCUGCAUGGUUGUCGUCAGCUCGUGCCGUGAGGUGUCGGCUUAAGUGCCAUAACGAGCGCAACCCUUGUUGUCAGUUACUAACAGGUUCCGCUGAGGACUCUGACAAGACUGCCAUCGUAAGAUGUGAGGAAGGUGGGGAUGACGUCAAAUCAGCACGGCCCUUACGUCCGGGGCUACACACGUGUUACAAUGGGGGGUACAGAGGGCCGCUACCACGCGAGUGGAUGCCAAUCCCAAAAACCUCUCUCAGUUCGGACUGGAGUCUGCAACCCGACUCCACGAAGCUGGAUUCGCUAGUAAUCGCGCAUCAGCCACGGCGCGGUGAAUACGUUCCCGGGCCUUGUACACACCGCCCGUCAAGCCAUGGGAGCCGGGGGUACCUGAAGUGCGUAACCGCGAGGAGCGCCCUAGGGUAAAACUGGUGACUGGGGCUA
rnacentral:rRNA from 1 species